rnacentral:Y_RNA from 1 species
GGCUGGCCUGAAGGUAGUGAAUUAUCUCAAUUGAUUGUUCACAGUCAGUUACAGAUCGAACCCCUUAUUCUACUCUUUUCCCCUUCUCACUACUGCAAUUAACUAGUCUUAA